rnacentral:rRNA from 1 species
GCCUAAAGCGUCCGUAGCCGGCUAUGUUAGUUUUCGGUUAAAUCCAUGUGCUCAACACAUGGGCUGUCGAGAAUACUGCAUAGCUAGGGAGUGGGAGAGGUAGACGGUACUCUGUAGGAAGGGGUAAAAUCCUUUGAUCUAUAGAUGACCACCAGUGGCGAAGGCGGUCUACCAGAACACGUCCGACGGUGAGGGAUGAAAGCUGGGGGAGCAAACCGGAUUAGAUACCCGGGUAGUCCCAGCUGUAAACUAUGCAAACUCAGUGAUGCAUUGGCUUGUGGCCAGUGCAGUGCCGCAGAGAAGUCGUUAAGUUUGCCGCCUGGGAAGUACGUACGCAAGUAUGAAACUUAAAGGAAUUGGCGGGGGAGCACCACAAGGGGUGAAGCCUGCGGUUCAAUUGGAGUCAACGCCAGAAAUCUUACCCGAAGAGACAGCAGGAUGAAGGUCAAGCUGAAGACUUUACCAGACAAGCUGAGAAGUGGUGCAUGGCCGUCGCCAGCUCGUGCCGUGAGGUGUCCUGUUAAGUCAGGUAACGAGCGAGAUCCUUGCCUCUAGUUGCUACCAUUACUCUCAGGAGUAGUGGGGCGAAUUAGCGGGACUGCCGUAGUUAAUACGGAGGAAGGAGAGGGCCACGGCAGGUCAGUAUGCCCCGAA